rnacentral:lncRNA from 12 species
UGCCCUACCCCCACUAACGUGUUUGCUCAUGAAGACAGUCAUCAGACAGAAACAAGGGUUUGCCACUUAUUGGAGCACAGGUGGGUCUCCAGGCUCACCCGCCCCCCCCACAGACCACCUCAGCAUAAUCUUCUCUCUUCAUCAUAGCAUUAUCAUCAGAGCCAGCCUUUCUCCCUCUUCUCCUGACUUUCCAGAGGGCUAUUUGGGAAGGACAUGCAUGGAUAUCUCUUUCAAGCCCUCUUGAGUAUUCAAAGCAGAAUCAGUUCUGGUGUGGUUGAAAGGAUUGGAAGGCUGUGGGGCCCUGAGGCAGAGGGAUGAGUGAGGUUCUCAGGUUCACUAACUCUGAGAUUCACUCCCUGCCAAGAAGGCAUAGAGAAGCUCGGCUUCUCCUCAAGUGUGGGCCUGUGAGGAUGCACAUUUCUGCCAAAGAGAUUCCUUAGUGCACAACUUCCUCUGUUUUCAUUCCAGAUUCCUUCAAAAGAAACUCUAAAAGAAAGCUCUGAGUUCGGGGUCAGCUCACACCCUGCAUGCCCUCCUUCUGGAUCUCUGGAACCUCUGACCCACUCAGACAUCUAUGUCUUUAAGAUACUCCCAGGUAGCUGCACCCAGGUUCCUCCCAGCAAAUCAGGCAGCUCAUCUCAAAGCCGUUUGCCCAGAAGGCCUGAGGAGGGACCAGCCAGACUGGGUUUGCAAACAGCCGCUUGAGAGUCUCCAAACACACACCCCUUGGAACAGACUCAUCAUCUGGUGGCAUCUGCGAACUGCAGCUCAAGCCAAGGCUCUGUGCUCUGGGUCUUUCGCGCCCACUCAGUGGGCUUCUCACCUGUGAGUGCGUGUGCGUGUGUGCGCGCGUGUGUGUGCAUUUAUGCACGUGCCUGUGUGGGGGUGGGGUAUAUUUAGUGAGUAAAUCCUUGGGUGCACCUAGCUCUGUCCCUGGGCUCCACUGAUAAUGUAUCUCACACAUACCUGAUGUGCAAUUAUUUGUCAAAUGUUAUCAAUGUUGUGAAGAAUAAAACACAUUUUCAAGUAUGGCUUUUUGUCA